rnacentral:tRNA from 1 species
AUUAUUUUAGGUAUACUUAUUUUAUUCUUUUGGUGUUUUUUGUGGUUUUUGAUCUUGAGGUUUCUUUAUUGUUGAAAAUGCCUCUUCAGGGGGUGUUGUAUAAGAAAUUUUUUAGGUAUUUGUUUUUUUUGGUUUUGUUAGGUAUUGGGUUUUUGGUAGAGGUUCGCCGAGGUUAUGUUCGUUGAGCUUAUUAGGGUUUGGAGGAUUGUUAGGUUGUCGCUGCUAACGAUGAUUUGGGCUUUGGUUGCUCGGUUCUCU